rnacentral:rRNA from 1 species
CCACGCGGUCCGGCCGGGAACUCAAAGGAGACUGCCAGUGAUAAACUGGAGGAAGGUGGGGAUGACGUCAAGUCAUCAUGGCCCUUACGACCAGGGCUACACACGUGCUACAAUGGCGCAUACAAAGAGAAGCGACCUCGCGAGAGCAAGCGGACCUCAUAAAGUGCGUCGUAGUCCGGAUUGGAGUCUGCAACUCGACUCCAUGAAGUCGGAAUCGCUAGUAAUCGUGGAUCAGAAUGCCACGGUGAAUACGUUCCCGGGCCUU